UCGAUGACUGUCUGUGUAACCUAAACGAUGACGUUUCGUUCGCACUAGGAAUCGCUAGCCUCAUCUGCUGGGCCGUCGCAGAGAUUCCACAGAUCAUUACUAACUUCCGUACAAAGUCUAGUCAUGGUGUCUCUCUCUCUUUCCUCCUCGCUUGGGUCGCUGGUGAUAUCUUCAAUCUCAUCGGUUGUCUUCUUGAACCAGCUACCUUACCGACUCAGUUCUACACAC